CUUUUGCUCAGGACGAACGCUGGCGGCGUGCUUAACACAUGCAAGUCGAACGAAGCUUGAUUACGGAUUCUUCGGAUGAAGUAUGAUAUGACUGAGUGGCGGACGGGUGAGUAACGCGUGAGUAACCUGCCCUUCAGAGGGGGAUAGCGUUUGGAAACGAACGGUAAUACCGCAUAAAGUAUUUUGACCGCAUGAUCGAAAUACCAAAGAUUUAUCGCUGAAGGAUGGACUCGCGUCUGAUUAGGUAGUUGGUGGGGUAACGGCCUACCAAGCCGACGAUCAGUAGCCGGACUGAGAGGUUGAUCGGCCACAUUGGGACUGAGACACGGCCCAGACUCCUACGGGAGGCAGCAGUGGGGAAUAUUGCACAAUGGGCGCAAGCCUGAUGCAGCAACGCCGCGUGAAGGAAGACGGUUUUCGGAUUGUAAACUUCUGUUCUUAGUGAAGAAUAAUGACGGUAGCUAAGGAGCAAGCCACGGCUAACUACGUGCCAGCAGCCGCGGUAAUACGUAGGUGGCAAGCGUUGUCCGGAAUUACUGGGUGUAAAGGGAGCGCAGGCGGGUGAUCAAGUCAGCUGUGAAAACUACGGGCUUAACCCGUAGACUGCAGUUGAAACUGUUCAUCUUGAGUGAAGUAGAGGUUGGCGGAAUUCCGAGUGUAGCGGUGAAAUGCGUAGAUAUUCGGAGGAACACCGGUGGCGAAGGCGGCCAACUGGGCUUUAACUGACGCUGAGGCUCGAAAGUGUGGGGAGCAAACAGGAUUAGAUACCCUGGUAGUCCACACUGUAAACGAUGAUUGCUAGGUGUGGGGGGUCUGACCCCUUCCGUGCCGGAGCUAACGCAAUAAGCAAUCCACCUGGGGAGUACGACCGCAAGGUUG
rnacentral:rRNA from 1 species